rnacentral:rRNA from 1 species
UAAGCCUGGGAAACUGGGUCUAAUACCGGAUAGGACCGCACUUUAGUGUGUGUGGUCCGGAAAGUUUUUUCGGUGUAGGAUGAGCCCGCGGCCUAUCAGCUUGUUGGUGGGGUAAUGGCCUACCAAGGCGGCGACGGGUAGCCGGACUGAGAGGUUGGUCGGCCACAUUGGGACUGAGAUACAGCCCAG